AUUUGCGUCAAGUAUUGAGCUAGAGUGUGAUGUUGGAUAUGACCUUCAUGGUGACCGAAUAGUAGUAUGUCAAGCAAACGGCCAAUGGAGUGGCAGACCAACAUGCAUCAUAAAAGAUUGUGGCAAUGUCACUUUGCCUUCCAACGGGGUGAUCGUAACAAGUCCUAUGGUGACUUCGUUUAAUGCCAAACUGCGAUUUAAAUGUAAUGACGGUUUUCUACUGACCGGAAAUGACGUCAUCUGGUGUGGCUCAGCAGGCGCGUGGAACAGUUCUGUCCCGACAUGCAAACAUCAAUCGGACAUUGGUGGGCCUUGUACUGAUGCAAGAUUGUGUAGGACACACAAUGCUAUUUGUGAUAACAAGACAUGCAAAUGCAUUUCCGGGGUGGUAGAUCGAA